UGCCAAUAUAGCCCUAUCCCUACGUGAGUAGGGGAAGGGAAUUGUGGUUGGACAACAGAGUUCUGAGAAAGGCAGUGAUUGAGCAGCUGAACUCCAUCCAUUUGGUGGGUAAGGACCCCAGAGUAUUCAAAGUAUCAAAUGGAAUGUGACUGAAGUGUUAUCUUGCUGAUGUUACCCAGGAAAACUGUCCCCUAGGCAAGGGGACACCAAACACAAAGAGGCACGGGAUAAGGAUUUCGUGACGAGAAUUGGGCAGAACUGGAGUUUAAUCCCCAUGUCAUG
rnacentral:lncRNA from 1 species